ensembl:lncRNA
AACUGCUCCACAUAAAGGAGUUGGAGCUACUAGCCAUCAUAAAGGCCUGCAAUGCUUUCAGAAACCUUCUCGUAGGAAAAAAUGGUACAGAUAGCCACCGACAACACCACAGCAAUGUACUGCAUCCUAAAACAAGGUGUCACCCACUCCCCAAGUCUCCUCUACCUAGUGGUCAACCUCUGGGAGUAGUGUCUGUAACAUCAUAUCUGUCUCGCAGCCUUACGCAUCGCUGAUCAAGACAAUGACCUAGACACACUCAGCCAUAUAGAUGCCCAAGCUCACGAGUGGGAACUAGAUCAAUCAGUAUUCUGCCAACUAUGCUGGAAAUGGGACACACCGACUCUCGAUCUCUUUGCCUCCCAAGCAAAUUAGAAAUGCCAACUCUAUUGCUCCCAAGCAGGAAUAGGAAAACAUUCCCAGGGAGACGCGUUUGUUGGCCGUUGGCCCAAAACUCUUACCUACCUUUUCCCACUGUUCCCUCUCCUCCACAAAGUUGUCGUCCAUCUACAACAAGACAAAACCAAUGCCAUCAUAGCCCCUUGGUGGCCAAGACAGACUUGGUUCCCAGUUCUCAGCAGUCUCUCACCAGACAUCCACCAUCUCCCCCGCCUGCCACACCUUCUCACACAGAACAACGCCCAUGUCCUACACCCGGACUUACCUGUUCUGCACCUGACAGCAGGGAGGAUUCUCCCUCAUUAAUGAACAUUCUUCAUCAUGCCAAAAGACCACCCACAAUGAAAGCCUACCUGUACAAAUGGAAGAAAUUUCAAUCCUUUACCAAAUCUUCCUCUUCAUCCUCCAUCCAUCCAUCACUUUCCACUGUUCUCUGCUUUCUCCUACAUCUCAAAUCCAAGGGCCUCUCCAUCUCAUCCUUAAGAGUCUACCUUUUGGUAAUAAUAUCAUACCAACCUCCAAAUUCUCCAGCAACAAACUUCUUCAAGCAUCCAACAACAAAACGUUUUCUGAAAGGUCUCUCUCAUAUCUACCCUGAUACUCAACCUCCCUCUCCACAAUGGUCACUAACUCUUGUUUUCAAACAACUCACCAAAGCUCCUUUUGAGCCAUUAGCUACAACUGACUUAAGACUCCUCACCUUUAAAACAGUUUUUCUCGUAGCCAUCACCUCAGCUCGACAAGCUAGUGAAUUGGCAGCUUUACGCUAUGACUACCCUUAUCUACAAUUUUUUCACAAUAAGGUGAGGUUAUUCAUGGACAUUUCCUUCUUCUCCAAAAUUGUCUCUCAAUUUCAUAUUUCUCAGCCGAUUGUCCUUCCUUCAUUUUUUCCACCGCCUUCUUCAAACCAAGAAAAAAUACUCCAUAUGUUGGAUGUCAGAAGAGCUCUUGCUUUUUAUCUCCAACAUACCCAACCUUUUAGACAGUCAUCUCAUCUCUUCAUAAGCCACCAGCUACCUACAAAAGUCUAUCAGGUGAUUCCCCAAUCUAUCUCCAGUUGGGUCAGCUCUACCAUUCACUUGGCUUAUCAACUUGCUCGACUACCACUCCCUAGAGUGGUUCGCCCUCACUCCACCCAGCCAGUGGGCAACACUACAGCCUUUCUCCGCUGCGUACCUCUUUCGGACAUCUGCGCCUCUGCCACUUGGGCACAGCCAUCCAUGUUUAUCAGUCAUUAUAGACUCGAUCUCCAGUGAAAGUCUGAUGCAGCAUUUGGACAUGCUGUUCUAGCCUCUACCUUGGUGGGACACCCUGCCUCCAGGUAAGACAGCUUAUUAGUCACCCAUGGUGUGAUUCACAGAGGCCACGAAGAAGAAUGACAGAUUACCCACCUGUAAUUAUAGUUCUUUGAGU